UACAGAGGGUGCGAGCGUUGUCCGGAAUCACUGGGCGUAAAGGGCGCGUAGGUGGCCUGGUAAGUAGGGGGUGAAAUCCUGUGGCUUAACUGCAGGACGGCCUCCUAGACUGUCAGGCUUGAGCAUGGUAGAGGCUGGUGGAAUUCCCGGUGUAGCGGUGGAAUGCGUAGAGAUCGGGAAGAACAUCGGUGGCGAAGGCGGCCAGCUGGGCCAUUGCUGACACUGAGGCGCGACAGCGUGGGGAGCAAACAGG
rnacentral:rRNA from 1 species